GUCGUAACAAGGUUUCCGUAGGUGAACCUGCGGAAGGAUCAUUAAAUAAUUUGAGUAUGCUUAUGCAUAUUUCUAAUUUACUGUGAACUGUUUUACUGUUUAGCGUUUUGAGGGAUUGCCUAAAGAUUAUAGGGAUAGGUCUUUAGGAUGUUAACCUAGCUAAAGUCAGGCUUAGGCCUGGUAUCCUAAUUCAUUAUUUACCAAAAGAAUUCAGAAUUAAUAUUGUAACAUAAGCGUAAAAAACUUAUAAAACAACUUUUAACAACGGAUCUCUUGGUUCUCGCAUCGAUGAAGAACGUAGCAAAGUGCGAUAACUAGUGUGAAUUGCAUAUUCAGUGAAUCAUCGAGUCUUUGAACGCAUCUUGCGCUCAAUGGUAUUCCAUUGAGCACGCCUGUUUCAGUAUCAACAACAACCCACAUCCACAAUUUUGUUGUGAAUGGAAGUGAGAAUUUCGGACUUGCGCUGAAUUCUUUAAAAUUAUUAGGCCUGAACUAUUGUUCUUUUAGCCUGAACAUUUUUUUAAUAUAAAGGAAUGCUCUAGUUAUUAAGACUGUCUUGGGGGCCUCCCAAAUAAAUCAUUUUUUAAACUCGAUCUGAAAUCAGGUGGGAUUACCCGCUGAACUUAAGC
rnacentral:rRNA from 1 species